GGGUUGUGAGGUUAAGCGACUAAGCGUACACGGUGGAUGCCCUGGCAGUCAGAGGCGAUGAAGGACGUGCUAAUCUGCGAAAAGCGUCGGUAAGGUGAUAUGAACCGUUAUAACCGGCGAUGUCCGAAUGGGGAAACCCAGUGUGAUUCGUCACACUAUCGUUAACUGAAUACAUAGGUUAACGAGGCGAACCGGGGGAACUGAAACAUCUAAGUACCCCGAGGAAAAGAAAUCAACCGAGAUUCCCCCAGUAGCGGCGAGCGAACGGGGAGCAGCCCAGAGUCUGAAUCAGCUUGUGUGUUAGUGGAACGGUCUGGAAAGUCCGACGGUACAGGGUGAUAGUCCCGUACACCAAAAUGCACAGGCUGUGAACUCGAAGAGUAGGGCGGGACACGUGGUAUCCUGUCUGAAUAUGGGGGGACCAUCCUCCAAGGCUA
rnacentral:rRNA from 1 species